GCGAUCGUGGCGAAGUGGUUAACGCAUCGGUUUGUGGAUCCGACACUCGAGGGUUCAAUUCCCUUCGAUCGCCCCA
rnacentral:tRNA from 3 species